GGAAUAUUGGACAAUGGGGGGAACCCUGAUCCAGCCAUGCCGCGUGUGUGAAGAAGGCCUUUUGGUUGUAAAGCACUUUAAGCGAGGAGGAGGCUCCUAUAGAUAAUACCUAUAGAGAGUGGACGUUACUCGCAGAAUAAGCACCGGCUAACUCUGUGCCAGCAGCCGCGGUAAUACAGAGGGUGCAAGCGUUAAUCGGAUUUACUGGGCGUAAAGCGUACGUAGGUGGUCUUUUAAGUCGGAUGUGAAAUCCCUGAGCUUAACUUAGGAAUUGCAUUCGAUACUGGGAGACUAGAGUAUGGGAGAGGAUGGUAGAAUUCCAGGUGUAGCGGUGAAAUGCGUAGAGAUCUGGAGGAAUACCGAUGGCGAAGGCAGCCAUCUGGCCUAAUACUGACACUGAGGUACGAAAGCAUGGGGAGCAAACAGGAUUAGAUACCCUAG
rnacentral:rRNA from 1 species